AAAAAAGUAUAAUUAAUGUACGUAGGGCUUUGGCUCCUAAAGAAAGGGAAAUCUACCUUUUUUAUAA
rnacentral:tRNA from 1 species